rnacentral:lncRNA from 1 species
GGGAAUCUCUAGCUGGCUAGUUAUCUACCCUCUGGCGUUCCGCAAUAUUGGAGAAAAAGUUGAUUGAUAAUCCAAGUACUAGUUUGAAAAAUAUGCACUGGGCAUCAAAAUGAUCUCCCGAAUAGUUUUAAAAGAUGUGGUUCAGAGGUUCAAGAGUUUUACUCCUGAGUUACGGCUGGGAUUGUUUCUGUCAUAGUAUAAUUUGUUUACUGUCACCAACGUUACAUAUUUCGGUUUAUCAGAGGAUGUCUUCAGUCUUGGAACGACAGUUUUUGGCAAUAGUCAUGUGCACAAGCUCAAUAAGGUUCCGGAGUGGCGCAGCGGUCUGAGGCACUGCAUCUUAGUGCAAAAGAGGCGUCACUACAGACCCUGUUUCGAAUCCAGGUUGUAUCACAUCUGGCUGUGAUUCGGAGUCCCAUAGGGCAGUGCACAAUUGGGCCUGCAUCGCCAGGACGGAAAGGGCUGGCUCUCACUUCUGGACAUGUCCGAUGCCAGGGCAUCAGUGCUGGACAAGAAGAUGCCUUUCAGGCGGCUGAGGAACAUUGAUGUCCUGUAUGUCCCUGCAUCAAUAGAGGCGAGAAGGAAGACGGUCCACCCACCAAUCAUUCCAACCCCAGGCUCCUACCCAGUCCAAGCCUACGCUCCAGUGUCUUCUACCUCCAACCUACAGGCUACCGAGACCACACCAAAGACAUUUGAAGGCUGGGCCCACUCCUACUAUACACAGGGGAGCCCUGUUCAGGUCUCAGGUUAUUACGGAC